UGGGGAAUCUUGCGCAAUGGGCGAAAGCCUGACGCAGCGACGCCGCGUGUGGGAUGAAGGUCUUCGGAUUGUAAACCACUGUCGGGAGGGACGAAGCUCUGACGGUACCUCCAAAGGAAGCACCGGCUAACUCUGUGCCAGCAGCCGCGGUAAUACAGAGGGUGCGAGCGUUGUCCGGAAUCACUGGGCGUAAAGGGUGCGUAGGCGGCUUCUUAAGUCUGGUGUGAAAGCCCAGGGCUCAGCUCUGGAAGUGCACUAGAUACUGGGAAGCUUGAGUAUCGGAGGGGAGAGUGGAAUUCCUGGUGUAGCGGUGAAAUGCGUAGAUAUCAGGAGGAAUACCGGUGGCGAAAGCGACUCUCUGGACGAUUACUGACGCUGAGGCACGAAAGCGUGGGGAGCAAACAGGAUUAGAUACCCAGGUAGUCCCUGAGCGGGCUGGCAAGGCGCAU
rnacentral:rRNA from 1 species